rnacentral:rRNA from 1 species
GCAAGGAAUAUUGUGCAAUGGGCGAAAGCCUGACACAGCGACGCCGCGUGAAGGAUGAAGGCCUUCGGGUUGUAAACUUCUUUUCUCAGGGAUGAAUAAUGACAGUACCUGAGGAAUAAGCCACGGCUAACUACGUGCCAGCAGCUGCGGUAAUACGUAGGUGGCGAGCGUUAUCCGGAUUUACUGGGCGUAAAGUGGGCGUAGGCGGCUUGCUAAGUCGGAUGUGAAAUUUCCCGGCCUAACUGGGAAGGGUCAUUCGAUACUGGUGAGCUAGAGUGCAACAGAGGGAGGUGGAAUUCCCGGUGUAGUGGUGAAAUGCGUAGAUAUCGGGAGGAACACCAGUGGCGAAAGCGGCCUCCUGGGUUGUUACUGACGCUGUUGCCCGAAAGUGUGGGGAGCAAACAGGAUUAGAUACCCGGGUAGUCC